UUUUGGACAAUGGGCGAAAGCCUGAUCCAGCAAUGCCGCGUGCAGGAAGAAGGCCUUCGGGUUGUAAACUGCUUUUGUCCCCCACCCCCACGGCCUUUUCUAAUAAAGAGGGCUAAUGACGGUACCGUAAGAAUAAGCACCGGCUAACUACGUGCCAGCAGCCGCGGUAAUACGUAGGGUGCGAGCGUUAAUCGGAAUUACUGGGCGUAAAGCGUGCGCAGGCGGUUCUAUAAGACAGAUGUGAAAUCCCCGGGCUCAACCUGGGAAUGGCAUUUGUGACUGUAGAGCUAGAGUACGGUAGAGGGGGAUGGAAUUCCGCGUGUAGCAGUGAAAUGCGUAGAUAUGCGGAGGAACACCGAUGGCGAAGGCAAUCCCCUGGACCUGUACUGACGCUCAUGCACGAAA
rnacentral:rRNA from 1 species